AUUGAACGCUGGCGGCAGGCUUAACACAUGCAAGUCGAGCGAGCGGCGGACGGGUGAGUAAUGUCUGGGAAACUGCCUGAUGGAGGGGGAUAACUACUGGAAACGGUAGCUAAUACCGCAUACCAUCAGAUGUGCCCAUAUGGGAUUAGCUAGUAGGUGGGGUAAUGGCUCACCUAGGCGACGAUCCCUAGCUGGUCUGAGAGGAUGACCAGCCAGCCGGGAAAUGUGACACGGUCCGUACUCCUACGGGAGGCAGCGGUGGGGAAUAUUGCACACUGGGCGCAAUCCUGGUGCAGCCAUGCCGCGUGGGUGAAGAAGGCCUUCGGGUUGUAAAGCACGUUCAGCGGGGAGGCGUUACUCGCAGAAGAAGCACCGGCUAACUCCGUGCCAGCAGCCGCGGUAAUAC
rnacentral:rRNA from 1 species